GGUCACGUGACCGAAGUGGUUUGAAAAAGCAAAUGGCGGCAAUGCAGAGAAGUCACGUCACAACAUCUCAGACAGCCAACUGGUUAUUACCUGCUCCUUCCACCUGAUCAUUCAACUGUUUAUCCACUCAUCUGCUGCUCAAUGCCACUCCACUACUACUUCUACUGCACUUGUACUCCUGAAUGCCAAGAGUCACAUCAAAAGGGAAAAAGGUGGAAAAUUGUGAGGACACCUUUUGGACAAGUCCUCCGGAAAGUUGGCGUGCUGAUUACCUGCAUGACACGUAUGGAGCUUCACGUCCACCAUCCACCAUCCACCAUCCAGCAAAUGUAUAUGAAGCACCACUUCCAACAAGACAUCUCCGGUUGAAAGAAAUACCACAGAACACGUGGAGAUCCUCAAAUCUUCAUUGGACAGCAAUCAAUCCCACUUGUCACCUGGAGGGGGCGCCCAGGAGCACACACAACAAGUGUCAUCUGGUGUCAUCUGGUGUCAUGUGACCAUUGCAGCUGUCAUGUGGGCCCACACUCAAAUGGCGGGGGUGGUCUUUGAAGUCCAGGUAGUCCUGGACAAAGUGAGGAUGCUCCGCCAUGAAACACCAAAGUUCAUCUGGGCAAAACAAAGCAAAGCUCCAUCAGCACCAGGGACAGCUCCACUUGCUUCACCCCCAACAUGAUUUCCAACAUGGCGGCGAGGUCCCGCUCAUGGACCUGACCGGUGUCUUGGCUGUCAUACAUCUGUGCACCAGUGAGCGCCCUUCGUGUUAACACAAGUGAUGUAAAGAAAGAAGCAUCCUUUGAAGAGUAACAUGGUGGUCUUACCUCAAAGGCCAUCUUGAGGGUGUCCAUUGACUUGGAUGGCCUGUAAAUGGUGGACAAGGCAAGCAGGUAGUGCCUGAUGUCUAUCUGGCCCUCUUCCUGCUGGACACAAAGUAGUGAGACUUGUGAGGCUGUAAGUGUCCACUAGAGGGAGACAUAGUGUCUAUCUGGCCCUCUUCCUGCUGGACACAAAGUAGUAAGAGUUGUGAGGCUGCAAGUGUCCACUAGAGGGAGACAUACCUGGUUAAAGAGGCCGUGGAUGUGUCGGAGUGUGUCCGUCACACCAACAUGGAGGAAGAGGGCAAAGUCCUCCAAAGUCAGAAGAUGUUUCCGCAGCUUCCUGACUUUGCUCACCUGCUCCUGCAACGAGCUCUCCGUCGUCUUGAGCCUGCAGAGAAGAACACGGGACAGUUAGUCAGUUCAUCAUCAGUGGCUCGUUAGCGUGUGACAAUAUUGAAUCAAACCAAACAUCAUACUGAAUUUUAACAGUUGUAGAAUGUUCCAUUUAGUCCAAAAUAUGUCUCUGUUUCUCGAAAUGUCAAAAUAAUUCAUGUUAAUUCCUCUUUGUAUGAAUGAAGCAGUAAUUAAAAAAAAUCCA